CGUAAACGAUGAGUGCUAGGUGUUAGGCCCUUUCCGGGGCUUAGUGCCGGAGCUAACGCAAUAAGCACUCCGCCUGGGGAGUACGACCGCAAGGUUGAAACUCAAAGGAAUUGACGGGGGCCCGCACCAGCGGUGGAGCAUGUGGUUUAAUUCGAAGCAACGCGAAGAACCUUACCAGGUCUUGACAUCCCGAUGCUAUUCUAAGAGAUAGGAAGUUACUUCGGUACAUAGGAGACAGGUGGUGCAUGGUCGUUGUCAGCUCGUGUCGUGAGAUGUUGGGUUAAGUCCCGCAACGAGCGCAACCCUUAUUGUUAGUUGCCAUCAUUAAGUUGGGCACUCUAGCGAGACUGCCGGUAAUAAACCGGAGGAAGGUGGGGAUGACGUCAAAUCAUCAUGCCCCUUAUGACCUGGGCUACACACGUGCUACAAUGGUCGGUACAACGAGUUGCGAGCCGGUGACGGCAAGCUAAUCUUUGAAAGCCGAUCUCAGUUCGGAUUGGAGGCUGCAACUUGCCUCCAUGAAGUUGGAAUCGCUAGUAAUCGCGGAUCAGCCCGCCGCGGUGAAUACGUUCCCGGGCCUUGUACACACCGCCCGUCACACCCACUGAGAGUUUGUAACAC
rnacentral:rRNA from 1 species